AUCCUCCUUUCUUUCGCUCUCUACUAAAAUUGGAACGAUACAGAGAAGAUUAGCAUGGCCCCUGCGCAAGGAUGACACGCAAUUCUUUCGCUCUCCACUCCCACGUU